UACGUAGGGACCAAGCGUUGUUCGGAUUUACUGGGCGUAAAGGGCGCGUAGGCGGCGUGUUAAGUCAGCUGUGAAAUCUCCGAGCUUAACUCGGAACGGUCAGCUGAUACUGAUGUGCUAGAGUGCAGAAGGGGCAAUCGGAAUUCUUGGUGUAGCGGUGAAAUGCGUAGAUAUCAAGAGGAACACCUGAGGUGAAGACGGUUUGCUGGGCUGACACUGACGCUGAGGCGCGAAAGCCAGGGGAGCAAACGGG
rnacentral:rRNA from 1 species